CAGGGGUACCUUUACCUUUUUAAGGGACCAUAGCUGUCAACUUUUCCCUUUUCUUGCGAGGAAUCCUAUUCGGAAUAAGGGAAUUUCCCUUUGAAAAAAGGGAAAAGUUGACAGCUAUGGAAGGGACCCAG